ACCACUCUAUGAUACGUUUGCUAAGAAACGGCGGCAUGCUUUCAGUAUCAACCAAAUGUUAUCAAAAUCUGCUUCACUGCUGACAAGUUGUUACAGUCCGACAUCGUACGGAAUGAUAUAUGCGUACAAUUGUUUAGUUAGCAAUACUGGGGAACUGUAUAUAUCAAGUAUUAGUCUAUUAAUAUCUUUUGACGAAAGAUAUGGAUUUUACCGUACCCAACAAAACUGUAGUAUUGGCGUUGCAAACUGUUUUAUUCCUUGCCAGUUCUUAUAAAAACAGCCUAUGUUUAAGCACAGAUUUCGAAAAGGAAAAAUUCAUGGUCGUCAAUCGACAACACGUGAAGUUUGAAAAUACGGACUUUGAAGAUUUAGGCGAUCUUCCAACUAACGGAGAAGAAAUUUCACAAUUGAGGCUUCUAAAAGUUGGAGAUCACAUCGCAACACCAGGCCAUAGUGCCAAACUACAGUACUUUCAUCACGGCAUAUAUCUUGGUCUUGAAAAAGGAGUCGCUGAUUUUGGUGGUGAUAACAAAUCCGACGCCAAGCCGAGAGUCAUAGAUCUACUGGAGUUCAUGAAUGGUCGUUUAUUCCGAAUAAACUAUCCAUUUGCAAAAUGUUUGCAACCUGAAGAAUCGGUAAGCAAAGCCGAGGAGUUAGUCCACAACCCUUCACAAUGGAAACGUUAUCAUUUAUUGAGCAAUAACUGCGAGCAUUUCGCAACAUUUUGCAAAACAGGAAGAGCCGCGUCGAAUCAAGUAACAAAACGAAUAAGAGACGCUUUGAAAAGAAUUUAUCAAGAGAUCAAGAAGGCUGUGAAGAAAUCAAGCGAUUCCAGUUCAUUCAUUUCGGAUUAUCUUCAAAACCAAUGGGCGUCAACUUACAUGAGUGUGUGCCCAGUCGAAGAGUAUCAUCAACAAUUUUUCACAAGCAUUUUAAUUUUGCCGUUCCUGUUGUAAUGCGUUUGUUUCUUCUAUGAAAAUGAAAUCUGUGGCUUUACUCACGCAUUUGCCGUGACUUAGGUGGAUGUUUAUUUCUACCUUAAAGGGGCCUUUUCACAGAUUUUGGCAUGUUUUGAAGUUUGUCAUUAAAUGCUUUAUAUUGAUAAAUGUAAACAUUGGAUCUAAAAAGCUCCAGUAAAAAAUCAAGAAUACCAUUUAAAAAAGGAAAAAAAAGGCCACAGCAGGGCUCGAACCAGUGACCCCCAGAGUCUUUGAGUAAAAACCAAUUAAACCGCUCGGCCAUCCUGCCAAGUAUGUACCAGUGACGUAUUUUAUACUUUGUAUAAGCAAUCUUCGUAGUUUCACAAAAUUAAACGACAACAACAGAACUAUCCAAAUUAUUCAAUCAUUUCGCGUUGCAACGCUUUAUAAUUUUUAGGUUUUCAAAUCGUCAAAAGAUACAUAUAAUGGCUAUAUUGGACUAUGGUUAAUGUUCAGUAUUUCUGUUUCCUCACAAAUAUCAUAACUAAAACGAAAAUUUGCGAAUCUGAAACAACUUUUUUCAAUUUUGUCAAUUUACCAAACCGUGAAAAGAUCCCUUUAAGCUAAAAAUUAGCUAAAUCGAUAUAUUUUUGCCAGAGAUGGAACAUCAAAGCUGAUGUUAUAAAACCUAUGCAAAGGGCUUGAGAAACUUAACAUUUUAUAGGGGGGGGGGCUAAAAGCUGGUUUUUAGUUACCUUUCAGAAGUUUAUUAGGUUUUGUUUAAACAAGUGGAGCAUUGGCUAACAAAAAAUCUUGAAAAGACUAUGAUACUUUAGAUAAAUAACACUCAAUAUUAAAGCAAUGGUAUCUGCCUGUCAACAGAAUAAUGCUUCGAUGCAAAAAGUAUGUAUGCCUCGGAGAAGCGCUCUAUGAUAUUUAUGAAUCUAACAAAUACAUAUUUCCAAUACAGUGUCAUUAUAUUCUACUACAGUGUCAUUUUAUAUGGUCACUCAACAUUUUAUCAGGUUUAAAUUAUAACUCUGUUAACACACACAGAAGACGAAAUAUUGAACCAUUUUAACUCUAAUUUGUUUUCACUUACUCAAUUUAUAUAAAUGUCCGGUAAAUAUUUCUGUACAGUGGAAAAUUACCUCCCUUUAAAAACCCCAUAUACGGCCCUUUUAGUGAUUCUGCAGUUUAUCAAACUUGGCAAAGAUAUUAUGUCCACCAAGUUUAAUGAUCAUAGGAUUAAACUGUUUAAGUUAGAGAGUGGACAAGGUAAAUUUUGCAUUUUGUAUGACGCAAUGGCAAUGACUGAGAAGUUCUUAUGGCGAUCUAGCUUGUUAUCGAAUCUGGAGAUGUAUGCUCAUAAAUAGCAUGUUAGGCGAAGACAUUCUACAUGUACUUAAAAUCAAUUUUUAAAAAGAAAAAGUUGUGUGAACUUUUUCUCAACUUCAAAACAACAUUUGUGAUCUCAGAUUAUUGCAUUACCUUAUGCAGAAAUGAUUUUCUUUGUUAAAAAUUUGAUAUCGAGAAGAACACUUGUAUUUACAAAACAAUAUCUUUGAUUUUUCGUCUACUUAUAUUCAUAGCAUAAUGUUCAGCAUGUGAUGUGUCAAUGAAUAACACAUUACUUCUUUAUCUACAGAAAAACAGCUCUGUGCUGUGUUAGAAUAAUAAAACUACACAAUGUUCAGCUACAUAGUGGGACGCAUUUUAAUUUUCUGAUCAAGGGCAUUAUUCCGACAUUAGGUUUUCUGGUGAUCAACCAAGGGUAUUGUAACCUUGAAAAUGUCAAUUGUGGAUUACAUACACUUCAAUGUGAUUUUAAGUUAGACUGUUACAACCUUUCAUGUGUUUGAUUAAUGGAAUUUCCCGAUUAAGUCAUUGCAAUAAAUCAAUCGUUUUAGUAAACACUUAUAUCUUUGAGGCACUCUGUGAACUCUCAAUAAACCUUCAAAAGAUUUCCCUUAGACACUUGAGACGUGAAUAAACCAGUCCUCACAAAGCAUACAAAAUUUACAAGAACAUAUAACUCAUGGAACAAAUAAACAAAGGAUACUUGGCAAAAUUACAGAAAAGAGGAAGUUAUACUGAUAUUGAUGUUAACAUUGUCAACUUCAAUAUAAAUUAGUGUUCCCUUGUAAAGUAUCAUUGCAAUGGUAGAGAAGAUAACAUUAAAUCAUCCAGUACUAAAGAGCUUAUGGAGGACUGAAGGCUGACAUUACUUCAUUUAUAAAGUCGAACAAUUAACAACGCUAAAAACGCAAUAAGAACAAGGUAAGGUUUACUCCCGUAUCAGUUAAAACAAAUGAUUUAUUGAUGCAUAUAAAAAGUUAACUGAAAAGUAUCAAUAUUGGAUGGUUAAAAUUCCCAUUUUGAGCAUAAUUUUUGUGUUUGAACUAAUAUUGGUGAUCUUGACUCGGCCCACAUUAUAUGCAAUCCUAUGAAAGAUCUCCAUAUGUAUAUAUAUAAAGUAAAAUUACACUUGA